CCUCAGCUGUUAUAAAGAGGACCAGAGGCUGGAGAGUAAAAAAGAACCGGAGGAAAGAGUCCCUCUGCCUAGCAUUGCUUCCCCCAGGCUCCCAGAAAUCUCAGGUCAGAAGGCACAGACAGCCUCUGGAACUCUUGUCUGGUGGGACCAUGAACUGGCAGCAGCUGUGGCUGGGCUUCCUACUCCCCAUGACAGUCUCAGGUCGGGUCCUGGGGCUUGCAGAGGAGAUGGCCGUGGAGUACCUGUCGCAAUAUGGGUACCUACAGAAGCCUCUAGAAGGAUCUAAUAACUUCAAGCCAGAAGAUAUCACCGAGGCUCUGAGAGCUUUUCAGGAAGCAUCUGAACUUCCAGUCUCAGGUCAGCUGGAUGAUGCCACAAGGGCCCGCAUGAGGCAGCCUCGUUGUGGCCUAGAGGAUCCCUUCAACCAGAAGACCCUUAAAUACCUGUUGCUGGGCCGCUGGAGAAAGAAGCACUUGACUUUCCGCAUCUUGAACCUGCCCUCCACCCUUCCAUCCCACACAGCCCGGGCAGCCCUGCGUCAAGCCUUCCAGGACUGGAGCAAAGUGGCUCCCUUGACCUUCCGAGAGGUGCAGGCUGGUGGGGCUGACAUCCGCCUCUCCUUCCAUGGCCGCCAAAGCUUGUACUGUUCCAAUUCUUUUGAUGGGCCUGGGAGAGUCCUGGCCCAUGCCGACAUCCCAGAGCUGGGCAGUGUGCACUUCGAUGAAGACGAGUUCUGGACUGAGGGGACCUACCGUGGGGUGAACCUGCGCAUCAUUGCAGCCCAUGAAGUGGGCCAUGCCCUGGGGCUGGGGCACUCCCGAUAUUCCCAGGCCCUCAUGGCCCCAGUCUACCAGGGCUACCAGCCCCACUUCAAGCUACACCCAGAUGAUGUGGCAGGGAUCCAGGCUCUCUAUGGCAAGAAGAGUCCAGUGAUAAGGGAUGAGGAAGAAGAAGAGACAGAGCUGCCCACUGUGUCCCCAGUGCCCACAGAACCCAGUCCCAUGCCAGACCCCUGCAGUAGUGAACUGGAUGCCAUGAUGCUGGGUGAGGUCCUUCCCCUCCAGGCUGUUGGCAGGCAGUGGGGGCAGCCUGCUGAUCCUGAGGCCUGGACAUAUGGGAGUGACAUGGGACUUCAGCAUGAGCAAUGGAGGGCCCCAUGGGAUGACCUAUGCUUUCAAGGGGGACUACGUGUGGACUGUAUCAGAUUCAGGACCCGGCCCCUUGUUCCGAGUGUCUGCCCUUUGGGAGGGGCUCCCUGGAAACCUGGAUGCUGCUGUCUAUUCGCCUCGAACACAAUGGAUUCACUUCUUUAAGGGAGACAAGGUGUGGCGCUACAUUAAUUUCAAGAUGUCUCCUGGCUUCCCCAAGAAGCUGAAUAGGGUAGAACCUAACUUGGAUGCAGCUUUCUAUUGGCCUCUCAACCAAAAGGUGUUCCUCUUUAAGGGCUCUGGGUACUGGCAGUGGGACGAGCUGGCCCGAACUGACUUCAGCAGCUACCCCAAACCAAUCAAGGGUUUGUUUACGGGAGUGCCAAACCAGUCUUCAGCUGCUAUGAGUUGGCAAGAUGGCCGAGUCUUCUUCUUCAAGGGCAAAGUCUACUGGCGCCUUAACCAGCAGCUUCGAGUAGAGAAAGGCUAUCCCAGAAAUAUUGCCCACAACUGGAUGCACUGUCGUCCCCAGACUGCAGACACUACCCCAUCAGGUGGGGAUACCACUCCUUCAGGUACGGGCACAACCUUGGAUACCACUCUCAGCCACAGAUACCACGUUUGAAUACUGACUGCUCACCCACAGACACAAUCUUGGACAUUACGCCCUCAGGCUCCACCACCCACCCUUUCAUUCCCUCCCAGAGGCCUAAUACCUGAAUGAAAUACCUGUCUGCUUAGUUGAAUCUCACAGGUGCUGUAGCAGGGGAAUGACUGUAGACCUCAGGCCUCUAACAGUUCCAGCUCCAGCCACCACUCUCCUGUGCUCUUUCAAUCCUGAGAAGUGCUCCCCUAACUCAGAUUUGGCCCCCAACUCCAUUUCCUGUCUUAGACAGCCCUUCCAACUGUGUCAUCUCUUCUCUGGAGGUCAAUGGUGGAGGCAGAUGCCUGGGUCCUGUUCUUCUUACAUAAAAUGCAAGAAAACAGCAUGGCCAGUAAACUGAGCAAGGGCCUUGGAAUCCUUGAGAAUCACAUUUAUGUGCUUAUGGUUAUGGGCAAGCUAAUUAACCUUGUUGAACCUCAGAUUCCCCAUUUGCAACAUUAGGUUAAGACCAGUCCUGCAGGGUUGUUGCACUAAAUGAAAUACUGUAUGUGAAGUGCCUGGCACAGUGUCUGGUACAUUUGUGUUUAAUAAAGGCUAACUCCAUGUUCAUAAGAGA